AGAGUUUGAUCCUGGCUCAGAUUGAACGCUGGCGGCAUGCUUUACACAUGCAAGUCGAACGGCAGCACGGGGGCAAACCCUGGUGGCGAGUGGCGAACGGGUGAGGAAUGCACCGGAACGUAUCUUCAAGUGGGGGAUAACGCAUCGAAAGGUGUGCUAAUACCGCAUAAUCUCUGAGGAGAAAAGCAGGGGAUCGCAAGACCUUGCGCUUUUGGAGCGGCCGAUGCCUGAUUAGCUUGUUGGUGAGGUAAAAGCUCACCAAGGCUCCGAUCAGUAGCUGGUCUGAGAGGACGACCAGCCACACUGGGACUGAGACACGGCCCAGACUCCUACGGGAGGCAGCAGUGGGGAAUUUUGGACAAUGGGGGCAACCCUGAUCCAGCCAUGCCGCGUGAGUGAAGAAGGCCUUCGGGUUGUAAAGCUCUUUCAGCCGGAACGAAACGGUCACGGUUAAUACCCGUGACUACUGACGGUACCGGAAGAAGAAGCACCGGCUAACUACGUGCCAGCAGCCGCGGUAAUACGUAGGGUGCGAGCGUUAAUCGGAAUUACUGGGCGUAAAGCGUGCGCAGGUGGUUUUGUAAGUCAGAUGUGAAAUCCCCGGGCUUAACCUGGGAACUGCGUUUGAAACUGCAAGGCUAGAGUGUGGCAGAGGGGGGUGGAAUUCCGCGUGUAGCAGUGAAAUGCGUAGAGAUGUGGAGGAACACCGAUGGCGAAGGCAGCCCCCUGGGUCAACACUGACGCUCAGGCACGAAAGCAUGGGGAGCAAACAGGAUUAGAUACCCUGGUAGUCCAUGCCCUAAACGAUGUCAACUAGUUGUCGGGUCUUAACGGGCUUGGUAACGUAGCUAACGCGUGAAGUUGACCGCCUGGGGAGUACGAUCGCAAGAUUAAAACUCAAAGGAAUUGACGGGGGCCCGCACAAGCGGU
rnacentral:rRNA from 1 species